CCUACGGGUGGCAGCAGUGGGGAAUAUUGGGCAAUGGGCGCAAGCCUGACCCAGCAACGCCGCGUGAAGGCAGAAGUCUUUCGGGUUGUAAACUUCUUUUCUCAGGGACGAAGCAAGUGACGGUACCUUAGGAAUAAGCCACGGCUAACUACGUGCCAGCCGCCGCGGUAAUACGUAGGUGGCAAGCGUUAUCCGGAUUUAGGGGGUGUAAAGGGCGUGUAGGCGGGACUGCAAGUCAGAUGUGAAAACCACGGGCUGAACCUGUGGCCUGCAUUUGAAACUGUAGUUCUUGAGUACUGGAGAGGCAGACGGAAUUCCUAGUGUAGCGGUGAAAUGCGUAGAUAUGAGGAGGAACACCAGUGGCGAAGGCGGUUUGCUGGACAGCAACUGACGCUGAGGCGCGAAAGCGUGGGGAGCAAACAGGAUUAGAUACCCCAGUAGUC
rnacentral:rRNA from 1 species